rnacentral:rRNA from 1 species
CAGCCGCCGCGGGAAUACGAAGGGGGCUAGCGUUGUUCGGAAUUACUGGGCGUAAAGGGCGCGUAGGCGGCCAUUCAAGUUAGAUGUGAAAGCCCUGGGCUCAACCUAGGAAUUGCAUUUGAUACUGUUUGGCUUGAGUUCGGGAGAGGUGAGUGGAAUUCCCAGUGUAGAGGUGAAAUUCGUAGAUAUUGGGAAGAACACCAGUGGCGAAGGCGGCUCACUGGACCGACACUGACGCUGAGGCGCGAAAGCGUGGGGAGCAAACAGGAUUAGAUACCCGCGUAGUCCCUGUCUCUUAUAA